rnacentral:lncRNA from 1 species
UCUAUCCAAACCAAAAUAAAGAAAUGCGACAGCGCUGAAUGGUGAUGCGGUGGCACGUUCUCAAGUCUCGGUCCAGCUGCAAUCAGUCUUCGAAAGUCCUUGAAUGCACAGUGUUGUAGGGGUGCUGGCAGGGCAAUGGUCACACUGCAUCACUUGGAGGGGAGGGGAGAGGAAGCAGAGGAUGGGUGUAGAUGCUACGAGGCAUUCAGGGGGCGGGCAUUGUUUGGCUGGGGUUUUCUUUGGUUUGUUUUUGUUCACCUAUGCUUAACCACCAGAAGCAAGUAAAGCCCUUUAAAAUUCUCUCUGUCCUACACAAGUAGGGAUGCCCUUCAUCAGGAACUUGGAAGUGUCAAGUGGAAUCAAGGUGAAGCUUUAAAGGACCAUGGUCAUCAAAGAGACUUUCACCAUGCCCUGAAAAGGGACAGCCACCUGCAUACCUCGAAGGUUUGAAGUAGCCUUUGGCAUACACUGUAUGAACAACACCAUAGAGGCAGAAGACUACAUCGUGCCACUGUCUGGAAGCCAGAUACUGUCUGUACUGAAGGGUUUAGAGCCCUUUUUCCUUUGGCAAAAUAAGUGUAUGAUAGUGGUUUAAGGACAAGCACUCCAUUGACUCACUUUGUACACCCCGUGCAUGAAAAAUACUCCAGUUAAGUGUAUUGUCAAAACAUAGAUGUAGGAAAUAAUUCAUGUGUAAAGAUGUGCAUUAGUAACUUCAGCUUAGGGUUGGGAGGAGCUGUCUCAGCAUGAUUGCUAUCCAAAAAAGGGGUGCUUAUUUCCAUAGAGAUGGGAGUACUGGAGCAUCAGCAAAGGAGUGGGAAGGUGUUCUUCAGUCUGAGACUCUUCAUUUCAGUGACGUGACCCUGAGUCUGGCCCUGGAUCCAAACGUUGAGUGGAAAAGCGGGAAGCAGUAUGAUCUACAGGAUGUAAAGCACAACUGGAGAAAAACCCUGUGCUUCUGCUCCAAAAGUGGCUUGUUUCCAUGUGGAUGUUGCCUGGUUUCUUAUAGAGGAUAAGUAGGUGGUUCUGUGAGCUGCUGGAGGUAAACUGGGUUCGGAUGCCCGUCUCUCUGCCUUUCCAGUUGUCCCAUCAACUUCCCUUUGUGCCACUGAACCGUGCUUCCCCACCACAUGCCUGGGAAUGAAGCAGGGCAGGAGCGAGGGUGGUUCUGCUCCCCUGAGGCAGUGAAGGAGUGGGGUGGGAGAGGGGCUUGGCCACAGCCAGAGGAGGUGCAGGGACCACGGUGGGAGGCCCCAGGGCUGGGUUAAUGCUCCGAGUGGGUCUCGACAGUGGUUCCAGCCAGUUUCAAGUGGUGUCGGACCGGGGCUGCUCCGACUGCCCUGCACGGGGAGCAGCCACAGCACACGAGGGCUGGAACAGGGAAUGGCAGGUGCCACUUUGAAUGUCUGCUCCUGGUAAUCCUGGCUGCUGGGGGAUGAGAACCUGGAGGUGGGAAAAACAGCCUUCCACAGCAGCAAAGACAUCGCUGUUCGUCUGUCCCAGAGUUAAACCCAUCACAGGGAAACAUCCCAAUUGUCCCCUCCUGGCUUCUUUUAGUACCAAGCUUCAUUAUAGGAGUGUCUGUCUCAUGUACAGCCGUUUAUGCAACAUUGUUUAUAGAGGAAGGGCCUGUGCACUUCAGGGAUACUAUGAAGAAAAAUACUAAUAUAUGGUCAUUGAGUAUUUUGUAUUGAAUAGUGUAUUUGUAUUGUAAACAAGUGUAGUGAACCACAAGGCAUGAAGACAAAUAAAGUGACAGUAGCUGG